AUUGAACGCUGGCGGCAUGCCUUACACAUGCAAGUCGAACGGCAGCACGGGUGCUUGCACCUGGUGGCGAGUGGCGAACGGGUGAGUAAUACAUCGGAACAUGUCCUGUAUUGGGGGAUAGCCCGGCGAAAGCCGGAUUAAUACCGCAUACGAUCCACGGAUGAAAGCGGGGGACCUUCGGGCCUCGCGCUAUAGGGUUGGCCGAUGGCUGAUUAGCUAGUUGGUGGGGUAAAGGCCUACCAAGGCGACGAUCAGUAGCUGGUCUGAGAGGACGACCAGCCACACUGGGACUGAGACACGGCCCAGACUCCUACGGGAGGCAGCAGUGGGGAAUUUUGGACAAUGGGCGAAAGCCUGAUCCAGCAAUGCCGCGUGUGUGAAGAAGGCCUUCGGGUUGUAAAGCACUUUUGUCCGGAAAGAAAUCAUUGACUCUAAUACAGUCGGGGGAUGACGGUACCGGAAGAAUAAGCACCGGCUAACUACGUG
rnacentral:rRNA from 1 species